UCCCGUGUAGCUCAGUUGGUAGAGCAUGGUGUUUGCAAUGCCAGGGUUGUGGGUUCGAUUCCCACAGGGGAC
rnacentral:tRNA from 1 species